rnacentral:misc_RNA from 1 species
GAUGAAGAACGCAGCGAAAUGCGAUAAGUAAUGUGAAUUGCAGAAUUCAGUGAAUCAUUGAAUCUUUGAACGCACAUUGCGCCCGCCAGUAUUCUGGCGGGCAUGCCUGUCUGAGCGUCAUUUCAACCCUCAUGCCCCUAGGGCGUGGUGUUGGGGAUCGGCCAAAGCCCGCGAGGGACGGCCGGCCCCUAAAUCUAGUGGCGGACCCGUCGUGGCCUCCUCUGCGAAGUAGUGAUAUUCCGCAUCGGAGAGCGAUGAGCCCCUGCCGUUAAACCCCCAACUUUCCAAGGUUGACCUCAGAUCAGGUAGGAAUACCCGCUGAACUUAAGCAUAUCAAUAAGCGGAGGA